UGACGAGUGGCGGACGGGUGAGUAAUGUCUGGGAAACUGCCUGAUGGAGGGGGAUAACUACUGGAAACGGUGGCUAAUACCGCAUAACGUCGCAAGACCAAAGAGGGGGACCUUCGGGCCUCUUGCCAUCAGAUGUGCCCAGAUGGGAUUAGCUUGUUGGUGAGGUAACGGCUCACCAAGGCGACGAUCCCUAGCUGGUCUGAGAGGAUGACCAGCCACACUGGAACUGAGACACGGUCCAGACUCCUACGGGAGGCAGCAGUGGGGAAUAUUGCACAAUGGGCGCAAGCCUGAUGCAGCCAUGCCGCGUGUAUGAAGAAGGCCUUCGGGUUGUAAAGUACUUUCAGCGGGGAGGAAGGUGUUGUGGUUAAUAACCGCAGCAAUUGACGUUACCCGCAGAAGAAGCACCGGCUAACUCCGUGCCAGCAGCCGCGGUAAUACGGAGGGUGCAAGCGUUAAUCGGAAUUACUGGGCGUAAAGCGCACGCAGGCGGUCUGUCAAGUCGGAUGUGAAAUCCCCGGGCUCAACCUGGGAACUGCAUUCGAAACUGGCAGGCUUGAGUCUUGUAGAGGGGGGUAGAAUUCCAGGUGUAGCGGUGAAAUGCGUAGAGAUCUGGAGGAAUACCGGUGGCGAAGGCGGCCCCCUGGACAAAGACUGACGCUCAGGUGCGAAAGCGUGGGGAGCAAACAGGAUUAGAUACCCUGGUAGUCCACGCCGUAAACGAUGUCUACUUGGAGGUUGUGCCCUUGAGGCGUGGCUUCCGGAGCUAACGCGUUAAGUAGACCGCCUGGGGAGUACGGCCGCAAGGUUAAAACUCAAAUGAAUUGACGGGGGCCCGCACAAGCGGUGGAGCAUGUGGUUUAAUUCGAUGCAACGCGAAGAACCUUACCUGGUCUUGACAUCCACAGAACUUUCCAGAGAUGGAUUGGUGCCUUCGGGAACUGUGAGACAGGUGCUGCAUGGCUGUCGUCAGCUCGUGUUGUGAAAUGUUGGGUUAAGUCCCGCAACGAGCGCAACCCUUAUCCUUUGUUGCCAGCGGUCCGGCCGGGAACUCAAAGGAGACUGCCAGUGAUAAACUGGAGGAAGGUGGGGAUGACGUCAAGUCAUCAUGGCCCUUACGACCAGGGCUACACACGUGCUACAAUGGCGCAUACAAAGAGAAGCGACCUCGCGAGAGCAAGCGGACCUCAUAAAGUGCGUCGUAGUCCGGAUUGGAGUCUGCAACUCGACUCCAUGAAGUCGGAAUCGCUAGUAAUCGUGGAUCAGAAUGCCACGGUGAAUACGUUCCCGGGCCUUGUACACACCGCCCGUCACACCAUGGGAGUGGGUUGCAAAAGAAGUAGGUAGCUUAACCUUCGGGAGGGCGCUUACCACUUUGUGAUUCAUGACUGGGGUGAAGUCGUAACAAGGUAACCGUAGGGGAACCUGCGGUUGGAUCACCUCCUUACCUUAAAGAAGC
rnacentral:rRNA from 1 species